UCUGCCAGUGAUGAUCUACCAAUUGCCUUGCUUGAGUUUAACGACCAUGAGAAAACUCACAUGCACUACCAUCUGAGACAGG
rnacentral:snoRNA from 1 species